rnacentral:rRNA from 1 species
UAGCGGCAGGGCUAAUACAUGCAAGUCGAACGGGAUUAUUGGUAGCAAUAUCGAUAUGAGAGUGGCGCACGGGUGCAUAACACGUAUGCAAUUUACCUCUAACUGGGGAAUAGCCUUCCGAAAGGAAGAUUAACACCGCAUAACAUUUCUGAAGGACAUCCUUCGGUUAUCAAAACUCAGGUGGUUAGAGAUAAGCAUGCGUCCGAUUAGCUAGUUGGCGGGGUAAUAGCCCACCAAGGCAACGAUCGGUAGGGGGUCUGAGAGGAUGAUCCCCCACACUGGUACUGAGACACGGACCAGACUCCUACGGGAGGCAGCAGUAAGGAAUAUUGGACAAUGGGGGCAACCCUGAUCCAGCCAUGCCGCGUGAAGGAUUAAGGCCUAUGGGUUGUAAACUUC